rnacentral:rRNA from 1 species
UAGCGUAGGGUGCGAGCGUUUGUCCGGAAUUAUUGGGCGUAAAGAGCUUGUAGGCGGUCUGGUCGCGUCUGCUGUGAAAACUCAGGGCUUAACCCUGAGCUUGCAGUGGGUACGGGCAGACUAGAGUGCGGUAGGGGAGACUGGAAUUCCUGGUGUAGCGGUGAAAUGCGCAGAUAUCAGGAGGAACACCGGUGGCGAAGGCGGGUCUCUGGGCCGUAACUGACGCUGGAGGAGCGAAAGCAUGGGGAGCGAACAGG